rnacentral:rRNA from 1 species
UACGUAGGGGGCAAGCGUUAUCCGGAUUUACUGGGUGUAAAGGGAGCGCAGACGGCAUGCCAAGUCCGGAGUGAAAUCCCGCGGCCCAACCGCGGGACUGCUCUGGAAACUGGUAAGCUGGAGUGCAGGAGGGGUAAGCGGAAUUUCUGGUGUAGCGGUGAAAUGCGCAGAUAUCAGGAGGAACACCAGUGGCGAAGGCGGCUUACUGGACUGCAACUGACGUUGAGGCUCGAAAGCGUGGGGAGCAAACAGGAUUAGAAACCCCAGUAGU